AUUGAACGCUGGCGGCAGGCCUAACACAUGCAAGUCGAGCGAGUGGCGGACGGGUGAGUAAUGUCUGGGAAUCUGCCCGAUAGAGGGGGAUAACUACUGGAAACGGUAGCUAAUACCGCAUACCAUCGGAUGUACCCAGAUGGGAUUAGCUAGUUGGUGGGGUAACGGCUCACCAAGGCGACGAUCCCUAGCUGGUCUGAGAGGAUGAUCAGCCACACUGGAACGGAGACACGGCCCAGACUCCUACGGGAGGCAGCAGUGGGGAAUAGUGCACAAGGGGCGCAAGCCUGAUGCAGCCAUGCCGCGUGUAUGAAGAAGGCCUUAGGGUUGUAAAGUACUUUCAGCGGGGAGGCGUUACCCGCAGAAGAAGCACCGGCUAACGCCGUGCCAGCAGCCGCGGUAAUAC
rnacentral:rRNA from 1 species